AAAGAAAUAAUAAAAAAAAUAAACUUCUAAUUUAAUUUUUAAGCAAAUAAUGUUUUUAUUUCUA
rnacentral:tRNA from 1 species